rnacentral:lncRNA from 1 species
AAACUAUUUUCUACAAUUAUCAAUUUGUUGAUAUGUUUGGCAUAUAAAUGUUGAUUAAUUGAGAUGACAUUGCAAAAUGAGAAGAUUGAAUAUUCAAUAGCAUCGGUUUGUAUGACAAUUAAAUGACAUUAUCAAUAGAUUUUUUUUAAAUAUAAUGUCAUAUAAUUACAAAAGAGCCUUGCGUGUUAUGGCAAGAGCGCGACAAGACAAUUCUUAAGGGCUAUUUGAAUGGUGAAGCUAAGGGUCAUUUCAAUCGAGUGUCCUGAAUUCAAUUGGUCAACUUAUGUAACAUCCUUCACAUUGGCUUCACCCCACUAGCUGUGUUAUAGUGCAUGCUCGAACAUUGUACUUCUAGCAAACAAAAAAUUAGCAAUAAUUAGCCCCUAUUUGAUGCUUAUUAUUCGGAGGAAAAUAAGUUUUGUAAUAGUAAAUUUUUAGAAAACGUCAGGGUAAAAAGUAGAAAAAAAUUGAAUUUACGUGUAAAAUAUUUUAUUGUAAAAAUGUAUGAUCGAAAAUGAGUUUUAAAAUAAUGAAAAUCAAACAUGGGUUUAAAAUAAAAUAAAAUUUCACUAUGAUUGAACUUACCCACUGUAAGUAUAUUUCUCCCAUGUCACAUUAUAACUAAAUGACACUUUGACAACAAGUGAUGAAUGGAAUGUAAAAGACAUUGCAAGAUUGAACUCAACCCUGUUUGGUAUAAUUAAAAAUGAGAUUUUCCCAAUCGAACCGGCAAUAUCCUUUACACCUCAUUUGCACUAUGGAAAAUCUUCCUGGGUUGGGUGGGUAGGGUCAGUUGAUGAAGCUUUAGAAAUUACUUUCACAAAGACAUUAUGGUGGCGGUGGUGCCUUUGCGUCGGAAGCGAAGGCGUCACAGGAAAGAGGAGGAUCCUUAAUUUAUCCUAAUUAAUUCUCAAUUCAUGAAACCACUAGAUUAAGAAACAAAAAUAAAUAAAAUCAUGGAAAUAACACCAUGGAGUAUAAAUACAUUUAUAAUAGAAAAGGAAAAUUAUCUUGCUGCCUUAAAGAAAGCAGAAGUUGUUGAAAAAGCUAUGUGCAAUUAGAUGUUGAAAAAAAGAAAGAAAAAAAUUAGAUUUUUGUUUGUGGUGCAACAAUAAUUUAUUUUAGGGUAAUUAUAUAUUAUAACCCUGAUUAUGUAAUUUUACUUACGACUAUUUAAGUAUAUAAAAAAACUAAAAAUUGUGAUGCACUUAUUAAUUUUAGUGGUUUCCUUAUACUAAUUUUUUUAGCUGCUGCUGCUUCUUCUUCUUCUUUAAUGGGUUUAACCGUUUAACUGAUAUCACUAGUUUGCUAUUUAUUAAAGGCAUGUGCAAUUGACGUGACUGGAUUUAUGCCUGAAUUGUACAAAAAUUGUAUAGACUGAUUCUGCUAUUAUAUUAGAGGUUUGGGAUACUAAUGCAAUGAAAGAUCUGUCUAAAAAUAGAUUGCAACUUUUGAGAAAGGUUGGGUAGAAAUUUUUUUAGAAUAGAUUUUGAGAAAAAAAGUGAUUUUUUGAGAACGUGAUAAAAAAGUAACGAAAAGUAAAGAGAGGAAAAAUAAGAUCACACUAAUUUGCAAUCUUCGUGCAAAUACAGUGCUAACUAGGAUCAAAUAUAUAAAGUUGGAUGCAAAAACCAUCACAGAGGUCUAAGAAGAAAUUGAGGUCAAAGAAGAAGAAGAUGAUGACGAAUUCGGAGAAAAUAAAACUCCAAUUCGGGAAGAAAAUCAUCCAAAUGAUCCUGGCCGAGUUACGGAGCCUGAAGAUCACUUGAGAUCAGGUUUAAAGACUUUAGGAAAAAGUGUUGCAGAUCCUGGGCAAUUCUGGCAAUGCUCAAAAUUUUUGAGUCAAGUGAAGACAGACCAAAGGCAGAGUCAUGUGCAAAUGGAAAAAGAACCCUGAAAGACUGAUUAAAGGGUUCCUCUUUGUGACAGUCUGAGAAUGAAUGCUUUGAACAUCAAUGGAUGAUGCUUCUAGUGAGAAGUUUAAUGAGGUUGAUUAUUUUGCAGCAGCAAACAUAAAGCAAAUGUCUCAGAGGUUGAAUGUUUUCCGCACAAGGCAAAGAAAUUUGUCGUCUAGCAUUGAGUUGACAGGUGGGAAUAAAAGGGAAAGGAUUAUAUGUGAAUUUCAUGCCAAAAGAAUGGUGCAUCAAAGGGAAUUUUUCUAGGUCCCUUCAUAUAAAGGAGGGAGCUCUAUGGAAGCAUCAAAGCAGAGAUUAUUUUCUAGUAGACAGUGUACACAACUGGACAUAUUACCAGGAUGUCAUCUGAUGAUUGAGAGCCUCCUGUUCCUUUUCGCCAAUCACACUUCGUCGCUCAGAAACUACUGUCUCAAGCAAAUUUGUAUGUCCCCAUUCACUAUAACAUCAAGCCAACAAAGGUUAGAGAUGAAGUCUCCAAAGUUUCUUGUGGUGGCAAUCUGCAUUCGACAGGAGACAAUGAGUCGAAGGCAAUCAUAUCUUUGAAUGAUGUUUAACAUCCUUUAUAACUGUAAACCUGAAGCUACUCAUUGUGCAACCUAAUUAAGAUUAAGGAACAUGACAACAUGAGUAUACAAUAUUUAAUGACAGGCAGUAAAUCAAUUGUUUUUUAGAGGCUAGGCCAAGGGGAAAGAAUGGGGUAAACUGUAAAGUACAUAACAUGUCUAAAAACGUGUAUUUAUUUUAUUUUAUUUUUUAUUCUUUGACCUCUACCGGUUUAUUAAAAUGAAAAAUGAUGGUAAUUCUCACAUACAAACAUAAAAUAGAAGCACAAACCCUAUAAAUAGAAGAUUUUGAAAGAAAACUAGCAAAAAGGAAGUUGUAAAAGAGAAGUAAAAGUAGAAGACUGAGCAGCAUUGAGAGUGCAGAGAAAGAGAAGCAUGUGCUUACAUUGUGCUCAUAGAGUUCUAACUUUGUGUAGGAAGAAAAAUGUGUGCAUUAAUACAACUCAAGGGACGAAGGGUGCAUGUUUUGUGCAAAAUACGUGUGUAUGUGUAUAGACAGCCCAAAUUAAUAACAAAUUACAAGUAUGCAUGGAAAAAAACACAUAAAUCAUCCAGUGCCAAGUCAAACCCAGAAAAUCUUGUUAACUGCAAAAAAAAUUGUCACGAAUAAAACAACAAACGAUUAGAAUCAUAAAUCAUAUUCAUUAAUAUGAAUCAUAGAAGUAUUAUCUCUCUUAAGAAAAUAUGCUUCUACAAUUAUCUAAAAAAUACUGAGAUGGAAUUUUCUGUGUGAAUACUUUUACAAGAGACUGUUAUGAGUAACUGAUCUGAGUUUAACAAAUCAAGCCAAAAGAUAAAACCAUUAUCCACAUGAAUUAGGGUUUUCUUAAAUAAUUUCCAGGGAUAAAUGGAUAUUAGCCUGGUUACGAAAGGGAAGCAAUUGCGUUAUCCAUUAAUAAUGUUGUCUCAUGUUUCUAGAGUGGCAUGGUAUGUUCACUCUUGUAAGUAUCUGUACUGAAUACAAAAUAAUAUAUGGCAGCCACUGAAAUUCAAAAUGCUAGUGCUAAUCUGGAAAAAUAUUAAAACCUACUACUUACCUCGUAUAGUUCACAAGAUAAGAAAAUAAAAGUCUUUAAGCAGGGAUGGAGCCUGGGAGACAAAACAAAUUUUCUAUACCAGUAGAAUUUGUUCUUUUUUUAUUUUUAAAAAUUUUUUUACCUUAAAAAAUUAGUUGGGCCUGGGGCAAGCUUUAUAUAGAUAUAUCUCAAGACAUAUAUGACCUUAUUUGCAUACUACAUAAGACUAGGUAUGAAUUAAUUUGUAAUUUGACCUUAUGUGUGUGUUUUGUGCAAAAUGUGUGCAUGUGUGUACAAGACAGCUAGGGAGAUGAAGUCAGUGCAUGUUCUGUGCAAAAUGUGUGCAUGGAUGUACAAGACAGCUCGGCUCACGAUGUGUGGAAGAAGAAUUAUUCCUUCACAAAAUCUGAGGCUAUUUUUUUACUUUAAUUCUCUAUUAAUGCACCACUAACGAAUUUGGUAAUGGAUAUCAGCAACUUAUUUUGUCACUGUUUUUGUUUUUUCAAAUAGCAUAUGAUUAAUUAUGUUUCUGCAAAUUUUGCGAACAAGUACAUUAAUUAUGUUUCUGCAAACAAAUAUAUGAUCAGGAGCAUGUUUCCUCUUUAUUUAAACACUUUCCGUCAGAGAAAGGACGGAUGUAGAAAAGAAAUUUUUGUCUGGAAAGUUAAGGUUUCCAUUAAUAUGUAUCUCUGUUAUGUACAGCAGUCUUAAUGGAAUCUAUUUACAGAAAGUGACUAAUCUAAGUAUCAGGUUUACAAUUGCAUGACUGCAGUCCUCAAGUCAUGCUUGCACUAAUUUACUUUCCAUGAUCACAACAUAGGAAUGAAUUCAAUACUGAGAGUGCCAGCUGACUUGCCAUGAUCACGGCACCAGCAAUAAAGAAUAUGCUUGUACAUUAGGCCCCUGCAAGAUGGUACUCCCAUUGGAGAUAAUAAUCUUGGCCCAUAAUGUAGCAAAUUGAUGUCUUGAUAGUGGUUUAGUAAGAGCAUCUGCAAGCUGGUUCUUCAUAGAUAUGUACUAGACAUUGAAGAUUCCAUUUGUCACAUGAUCACUAACAAAGUGGUAACCAACAGCUAUAUGCUUUAUCUUUGAGUGGAAAUUGGGUUGACAGAAAGAUACAUAGCACUAAUGUGUAAAGCACUUGGUGGUAAAGUCGUUGGAUUCCUCGGCCAGGGUCUAGUGGGUAUCUACUGACAACCGGUAGUGGUUUCUGGAGUUUUAUGAUGAGUAGUAAUAAACUAGUCAAUAGUAACAGUUGUUAAAUCCCUUGGCACGAGUGGAGUAGGAACAUACUGAGAAUUGGUGGCUGUUUAUGGAGUCUUGGAACAUACUGAGAAUUGGUAGCUGUUUCUGGAGUCUUCUGAUGACUAGAAAUGUGUUGGGCAGCAGUGGCAGUUGAUUGAUAACUUGGCCAAAGCAGAGAAGGAUUGUAAUGUGAACUGGUGGUGGUAGCCGAAAUCAUCGGGUGAAUUGGUACAUGUCGAGCUUGCUGGAAGUUGCCAUAUUCCUUGCCGACAGUGAACUGGAGCAACUGGUAAAUUUCCAGAAACUAGAUUAUAUUUAUCGGCUGGAAAUGGAGGAUUUCCAUCUGAAGCCUCUGCCUUAGAGCUCUGAAAUUCAGCUUCAGAUUACAAGAGUUUCUUGACCUUAUCAACCAGCAAGCUCUGUGCUUGAGAAAGAAUCAAAUGCUCCUUGAGUCCCAACGGACUGAUAAAUUUUUUUUAUCAAUGGGUGAAGAGCCAGAGUCAUUCCUUUGUUUAUUUACACAAGGUGUCCUAAUUGUUUCACCUGCUUCUCUACUUUCUAAUACACUGACAAACUGACAAACUAAUAGAGCUUAUCCUCACUACUACCCUUUUUUUUUUUUUUUUUUUAAAGAACAAAUUAUGAUAUUCAAAUUUCUAACUUUAAAACAAGAUAUUUACAGAUCAAUUUUGAGGGAUAGAUGUGAAGUCACAAUCUAACAUAUUUUCCUGCAGUAUUAGCACUGUGAUUAUGAGGAAGAAAUGAGCCAAACACCAAUAAACAAAAGAAGAACUUUCCACCCCCCACCCCCCAAUAUAUUUAACAAUCUUCAAGCUCUCCAUUCCCGAAUCACAGUCAAACUGCAAACCAGCAAAUAUAUUAUUAUCCAUCCGUAAAAAAUCGCACCAAUCUUAAAAGCAUCCAUCACCUCUGCUCCAAAACCAGGAUCCAAUUCCUUAUCUCCUUCACUUUCCUCAUUUAAUUCCUCUUCUUCAACAUUUCCCAUCAUCAAAAGUGCCUCCUUAAUGUCAACUUUUAAGCCUCUCCCCAUGAACUUCUUCAACUCUUUGCCACAGAUUUUCUCCUCGUGCUUUUCUCCUCCUUACUAUUUUCCAAUUUUUCAUUGUGCUUUUCACCUUGAAAUAUCACCUUUCACCAUUGGCAUUUGCAUUUCCACCUUUACUCCAAUAGUACUAUUUUCCCCUUGAAUGUUCGUCUUUUCCGGAAAUUCAACUUUUUAUCAUUUUUAAACCUUCAACACAAACUGUUUCAUCGUCAGAAGACAUAUCUAUAUACCUCCAUCUUCAUUUUUUUGGCAUUACAUUCCCACUUGGAUAUGCCCUCAUCCCUCUCGUGAACCAUGUUCGGGCCAAAUGGAAUCCACAUCUUCUCUCUAUUUAUUCUGUCAUCAUAACUUCUAUUCUUAGUACACCCCAAAGACAAAAAUUAGGGCCGGACAAAACUCCCGAACCCAACGGUUCUUUUUAAAUUAAAUACCCGAAUGGGUAUCCGAAUCGAAAAUCGACGGGUACGGUUCGGUUCUUUGUUCUAGACCAAGAACCGAAUAAGAACCGAAUUUUUCUUAUUUUUUUAUUUUUUUAUAUUGAAUAAAUCAGAUUAUUUUAAAGUUUUCUAAAUCUAAUUUUUUGGCCCAAUUAUUUGUUUCAUUUUUAAAUUUUUUUUUUUGGCUCAACAUCAAGCAUUCAAGCCCAUUUUAUUCUUCCAUUUUUAGCCCAAAUCUAAAUCUCUAAUGCCUAACCCACUAAAUCCAAGUAUCCAUUAUCCAACCCUAAAUAAACUACACAGUACACUAAAAACACCAACCCUAUUAACAUUAACCCCAACGCUCCGUUCGGCCGUCCAAACUCCAAAGACCAACUUUCCGUUCAGCCCCCAGUGUCGCCAUCGAAGCGGUGAACUCCGAAAGGCGAAAGCCCAUCAAAGCCGAGACCUCCAACCAUAGACCUUUCGAUAGUAAGCCCUCAAUUUUUUCCCGAUGUCAAUUCUCUUCUUAGUAUCAUUUGUCGGCGCCGAUAAGUGUACAUCUACCUGAUAAAUGUUAUGCAGUGGAGUUAGUAGAUUCCUGUUAAAUACCAAAGUAAUACUUUGAUACCUUAGAGAGAGUUGAUUACUUGCUUUGCUAUCAAAUAUCAAAUUUGCGAUAGAUUGUAAUGAUGUUGACUGGGAAGCAACCUCAAAUUGACACCCAAUUAUGCUUUCUUCCACACUGAUAUGCUAUACUCAUUGCUUGAUUUGUCACAAUCGAAAAUUUUAUUUGGUUGAAAAUGUUCCUACAAGAGCUUGGCAUUGUCUCACAAACUUUAAAUAUUAUUGUUGUAUAUUGUGAUAGCAUCUCUAGUCUUACCUAUAUGAAGGACUCUAAGGACUAGGGAAAAAUCAAAUAUAUUGAUAAAUGCAAGUGUGUUUUGGUGGUGUUUCGUGUAAGACAAAUGCUGUAUAAUUUCCUCUUUUAAUGGCAGAUUGACUGCGGUCAAAUCCCUACAAUGAUUGAUGAAAUUUUGUCUCAAAAACAUGAAGUUCUUGUGUCCCUUAAUCUCAGUCUUUCCUGGUUUUAUGUUUCUGUCAUUUGCUAUAUUUUCUUUCCUGUUGUUACUGCAAAUUUGAAUUGAUCAUUAUUCCUGCAAAUCCGAAUAUAUUGAUAAAUGCAAGUGUGUUUUGGUGGUGUUUUGUGUAAGAUAAAUGCAAGUGUAAUUUCCUCUUUUAAUGGUAGAUUGACUGGGGUUAAAUCCCUGCAAUGGUUGAUGAAAUUUUGUCCCAAAACCAUGAAGUUCUCGUGUCCAUUAAUCUCAGUUCUUUCCUGGUUUUAUGUUUCUGCCAUUUGCUGUAUUUUCUUUCCUGUUGUUACUGCAAAUCUGAAUUGAUCAUUAUUCCUGCAAAUCCGAAUAUAUUGAUAAAUGCAAGUAUGUUUUGGUGGUGUUUUGUGUAAGAUAAAUGCAAGUGUGUUAGUCUUUGUAUUUUAUAACCUGAGAUUAGGUUAUUCUUUAUAUUUUCCUACCAGUUUUGGGUGCUCAAAUGGGAGACAAAAAACAGCCUAAUGAGACGUCGGAAAUAUGGAAUCAUUUCACUAGAAUACUUGAUGGAGAAAGAGCAAAAUGUAAUUAUUGUGGGAGAACAUUUAAGGCUGAUACUAAUAGUGGAACUUCUAGCAUAUGGAAGCAUUUAAAAAUUUGUUAUGCAUAUAAGAGCACUACGGCUGAUGACAACCAAGCAAUAUUCACUCGAGAAAACAAUGAUGGUGGUAUUACAGCAAUGGUGUUUAAUAAAAAAAAACUGUAGAAAAACAUUGGUUAAGAUGAUUAUUAUUGAUGAAUUGGCCUUUUUCUUUGUGGAACAUGUGGGUUUUAAGGAAUUUGUUCAUCAACUUUGUCCUAGAUUUGAGGUUCCUUGUCAAAGAACGAUUGCUACAUCUCUACCAUGAAACAAAGGAAUCAUUGAGGAUUAAAUUUAUUAAUGAUAGACAAAGGAUUUCUUUAACCACUAAUUGUUGGACAUCAAUUCAAAACAUCAAUUAUAUGGUAGUCACGACACAUUUUAUUGAUAGAAGUUGGAAAUUGCAUAAGAGGAUAUUGACUUCUUCUGUUGUUCCAAAUCACAAAGGGGAGACAAUUGGGAAGUUUAUUGAAAAUUGUUUGUUUGAUUGGGGAAUAGAGCGUGUGGGUACAAUUACUGUAGACAAUGCAAGCACAAAUAAUGCAGCGAUCAUUUAUGUGAAAAACAAGUCAAAGAAUUGGAAACCUGAUGAUACUAUGAUUUUAGGUGGCUCUUAUUUGCAUGUACGUUGCUCAGCACACAGUCAAUUUGAUUGUUAAAGAAGGAUUGAAAGAGUUUAAUCCACCUAUAUAAAGUAUUCGCAAUGCGGUCAAAUAUUUUCGAUCAUCUCCUUCUCGAUUGAUGAAAUUUAAUUGUUGUAUUGAAAGGGAAAAGAUUGCAUACAAAAAACUUCCUGUUUUAGAUGUUUCUACAAGAUGGAAUUCAACAUUCUUAAUGUUGGAUAGUGCAUUAAAUUUUGAAAAAGCUUUUUUUAGAAUGGAGGAAGAUGAUGGAUUUUAUUAUAAAUAUUUUGACGAGAAUGAAGGUGGAAAAGAAAAAGAGGGGCCACCUACAAGUUAUGAUUGGGAGAAAGCAAGAAAAUUUGCUAAGUUGCUAAAAACCUUUUAUGAUGUCACAUUGAAGUUUAGUGCUUCAUUGAAUGUUACUUCCAAUAUUUACUUCCAAGAAGUGUGUAAAAUUGAGCAAAUUUUGAAAAAAAUGGGUGACAAACAAGAUUAUUUGCUAAGUAGCAUAGCAAACAGCAUGAAGAUUAAGUUUGACAAGUAUUGGGGUAAUGUUGAUAAAAUGAACAAGAUUUUGAUUGUAGCAAUUGUGCUUGAUCCUAGGUAUAAGUUGGAGUUUGUUGUACAUUGUAUUGGUAUCUUGUAUGACUCUGUUAAGGUUGAAGACACAAAAACCGAGGUCAUGAAAUUAUUGUAUGCUUUGUAUAACCAGUACAAGGGAUGUCAUCGUUCAAAGAAUGGAGCUAGUGGAAGUGGAAGUGGUGGCAAUGAAUAUAAUGAUAGAGUCACUUUGUUGGAGGGUUCAGAUGAUGAUGAUGAUUGGGAUGAUUGUAAAUUUUGGGUACAAGAAAAUGAAAACUAGCAAAAUGGAUUUUUCUGGAAAAGAUGAGGUACAACGAUAUCUAAUGGAACCUACUGAAAAUGCUAUUGAUGAAAACUUUAACAUUUUAAAAAGGUGGAAGAUCAACAGUUCAAGCUUUGAAUUUUUAUCUAAAGUUGCAAGGGAUGUUUUUGCCAUUUCUGUAUCUACGGUGACUUCUGAGUCAGCAUACUGGAGGGCGCAUUCUUAACCCAUUUAGGAGUUCUUUAACUCUUAAAACAGUUGAGGCCUUGAUUUGUACACAAAACUGGCUAAUGGAAGAAUCUAGACUUUUGAGAGUUUUCAAAGAUAGAAUUUGCAUUGAAGAUACAGAGUUCUAUAAGAGCAUUAAGACAGGUAUUAAAAUAUAUGUUUUAUUUUUCUUAUUAAAUCUUAUUAGUUGAACAAUUUUUAGCUCAUUUAUGUUGGUUAAUUGUGUUUUUUCAUUUUUUUCCGUAGAGUUUCUUCGUAUGGCAAGUCAAGAAAUUGAUAAUUAAUCAAAUAGCUGAUAAGUAUUAGCAAUAUUUAAAAAUAUUUUAUCUCUAUGACUUUUAAUUCAUAUUUAAUUGUUUUAUGUAGACUUGAUUUUGAAGGCUGAAGCAAGGGAAUUAUUGAUAUGGAUUGCCGAUAUUUUAAUACUAG